rnacentral:lncRNA from 1 species
GUAUAUAUACAAUGUAAACAAUGUGGUAUUUCUGUUCUUCUAAUGGCGAUUAAAAUGAUUAAGAAUGAAAGAAUUGAAUUUUGAAAUUACAGAAGCAAACAAUGAAGUGAAUGGCCUUAAGGUUGUGUUUCCUCUAUGACAUGGUGGUGGUAGUGCAUUCAGGAGGAAGGCCCUGUGGGAAUCGCUUGGUGUCAGAGCAGUAAUUGUAGAUCAUGUAAUUCUUCUGCACCCAUUUCAUUCUCUCUUGGCUUGUGGAAUCAAGCUCUUGUGAGUACCACUCUGUAUUGGUGGAGGUAGAAGUGGGAGUAUUUGAACUGCAAGAAGAAGCUCCAGAAGACCAGAUGCAAGCAUCUGCAUUGAAGUUCCUAUAGGAAGCAGUGAAGGGAGCUUGGCUCCAGUCUGUCUUGACAAGCCCACCUCUUGUUGCCCAGUCAUCUGCAUUCCAGAGACUGGAGUAUAUCCUCAUGGGCUGGUUCUUUGGGUAUGAAACACCGAUUGACUCAGAGUUCUUGAACUCCCUGAUGGGGGUGCCAUCCACAGAGAAGCUGAAACAGAGAUACCCCAGAUGAGUAAAUCAAUACAAAAACCCAAAAAACAUAAACCAGAUUGCAGUAUUGGAGAUUAGAAUAAUAGCACUUACAUAAUCCGCUGGGGAUUCCAAAGUAUGGAAUAGGUAUGGAAAUCAGCAGUUGGGUCAAACCAAAGGUAGAACUGCUGUUCUCUGUUUCCCUUGCCUUGGCUGAACACAUUAGUGUGAAGAAUGUAUGGAUCACCACUGAGAUUGCCCAGGAAUUCGAAGUCGAUUUCAUCAUGGGUUGGCCCUUGUGAAGAUAACUGCAAAUACACACAUACAUAAAUAAGAACUAUAUACUAAUCAGGAGAACAAAUUGUCAUCAAAUGGAGGAUGAUGUGCAACAAGUACUAUGAAAGGCGGGCUUACAUAAUAGGCAGUGACAGUGCCAGCAGAGUUUCCAGGAACAAGUUUGAGCUGCAUAUCAAUCUUGCCAAACAGAUACUCGUUCUUGGACUGGAAACCAGAUCCAGAGGUCUUGUCAAGGGAAAGAGUGAGAAGCUCUCCAUUGUUGAGUAUCUUAGCACGCCCGUCUCCCCAAGUGAUGUCAAAGUCUUGGUAGAAGUUACCUGCUGAGGCAGCCAUUAAGAAGCUCGCCACUACAGAGAUUAGCAGGGCUGUUGAAACAACUGAAAAAGAAGAAUAGAUGGGUGCCAUUGGCGGAUACGCUGUAUGGUUGGUCAGAGGUGUUUGAAGAGAAGAAGUUUGAAUUUAGUGACUUGAAAUUGAUCUCUCAGAGCUCCAAUUUAUACUUGGUGGGAGAGAUAUAGUGAGAUUGAGAGGGUACUGCUGGGAAGGUUCAAAGUGGGAGAACAAAGAAUGAGUUGUAUACAGAUGGCAGUGACAACCAUAUCUACAAAUGGGCUUCCACCUCCCCCCUAAUACUUUUUAAAUCAUCAGAAUCACACGGUUUUGCAAUAGAAAAGUAUUCAGGAAGUACCAUAGUUUUUAACUUCUGCCGCGUCUACCUGUCUCCCCCCCACCUCCCCCACCUCCCCCCAAAAUUGCUUUUGUCCGUUUCCAAUAUAUCAAACAGUUCAACAAAAAACAGCUCUCCAGUGUAAAAAUGUGCUGGACCAGAGCUUCCUACAUACAUCACUCCACCCACUGUCUUUCUAUGUCUAGAAAUCCUAAAUGCCAAAACAGGGAGAGAAAGAUAAGUAGCACCUGCCCAAGCCAUCAUCAUGCCCAGUUGUAAUAAAAAACAGCCCACCGUCUUUCGAAGUGCUUUUAUUGGAAACGUUCUUUCUAAAAGUACUUUUUGGGAAAAUCACAUGAAAAUGAUUUUUUAAUUUUUUAAAAGUGAUUUCUAAAUUUUAUCAAAUAUUUUAUUUUUUUCAAAAAUACUUUUAAAUUAGAAAUAAUAUUUAAAAAUAUUAUCAAACAUACACUUUAAGUUUUGACACUACAUCUUUUUUUUUUUUUUUAGAAUAUUGCUAUCUUUUAUAAUUAACUACCAUCUUUUAUAUUUUAGAGUAUUAACUUUUUAUUAUAUCUAUUGUUUUUAGAUUUAUAAGUCAUUAUGUACAAGUACUAUAUGAUACAAAUAUAAUAUUUUUUAUAAAUUAAUAAAUAUUUAUUUAUCAAUAAAUUAAUAAAUUAUUCAUUUAUAAGUAAAUCAACAAUUUAUUAAGAUUAUGUUUGGUUUUUGGAAAAUACUAAGGAAAGAAAAAAAAUGUAAAGGAAAAUAAUUUUUUCAUGUUUGAUUGUCUUAUAAAAAAUAUAAAAGAAAAUCAAAUAUAAUUAAAACUAAUUAAAAACUUAUAUAUUUUUAAAUUAUUUAAUUUUUAUAUUGAUGAGUUAAAAUAAAUAAAAUGAGUUUGAAGUAACAAAAAAAUAAUUUAUCAACUUUUAAUUUAUUUUUUUAUUUUUAUUCACUUUUUCUUUCCUUUUACUUUUUCUUUGUAUUUUCUUUCCCGUUUUCUUCAAAUUUUAUGGAACCAGGUGAUAAUUUUUCUUGGUCUCAAGAAUAGGGUUCUUAUUGAAGUUUUAAAAAGCAUACUACAAAAUUCACAGGUGGCUUAGUAUUCAUGAAUCAUAUCUCUUGUAAUAGUAACUAAUAAUCAAUCUAUCUUUCAUCAGAGAGUGAAUCAGACUCAAAAGCCAGUGAGGGAAAUGAUUGCUUUUAUGGCCAAUUAACUAUAGGGAUCAUGGAUUUGGGGGAGAAGGUUUCAUUUAGGUUAAUUUGAAACAUUGGUGAUUUUUGAUUUGUUUGUUUGCCGCCUUCAUCAUGCAUGGAGCAUUUUGAAUGAUUCAGUGCAUAGUUUUGGUGACUCUUAACUGAAGUUUCUUGCUGUUUGUGAUUGAAGUGGAAAGAAAUUAAGAUUAUUUACUCUUUAAAUUUGGUGUAAGGCCCAAUCCAUAUCUGUCAGAAGUUAAAGAACAAGCAGAAACAGAGAAAGGGCUAGAAGUUACAUUGACAAUGGUUCAUCUCCUCAGUUAUUUUCAACAAUUUUCUUUUCUUUGUCAUUCGUAAAGAAUAUUUUAUUAUUUGUAUUGUGCCAUAUAUUACAAUGUAAACAAUAUAAUAUUUCUGCUGUUGUAAUAGCAACUAAAAUGAUAAAGAAUGAAAGAAUAGAAAUGAAGAAAAUUUCAAAAGCAAACUAUCUGAUUGAAUGGGCUUAGGUUCCAUUCCUUCUAAGACAAGGUGGUGGCAGUGCAUUCAGGAGGAAGGCCUUGUGGGAAUCGCUUUGUAUCUGUGCAGUAAUUGUAGAUCAUGUAAUUCUUCUGUACCCAUUUCAUUCUCUCUUGGCUUGUGGAAUCUAGCUCUUGUGAGUACCACUGACCACUGGUGGAGGUAGAAGAGGGAGUAGUUGAACUGCAAGAAGAUGCUCCAGAAGACCAAAUGCAAGCAUCUGCAUUGAAGUUCCUAUAGGAAGCAGUGAAGGGGGCUUGGCUCCAGUCUGUCUUGACCAGCCCACCUCUUGUUGCCCAGUCAUCAGCAUUCCAGAGGCUGGAGUAUAUCCUCAUGGGCUGGUUCUUGGGAUAUGAAACACCUAUGGACUCAGAGUUCUUGAACUCUCUGAUGGGGGUGCCGUCCACUGAGAAGCUGAAACAGAGAUACCCCAGAUGAUUGAGCCAAUUAAGAAACCAAAAAAAAAAAAAAAACAUAAACCAGAUUUCACUAUUGGGGAUUAAUUACUGUACUACUUACAUAAUCCGCUGGGGGUUCCAAAGGAUGGAAUAGGUGUGGAAAUCAGCAGUUGGGUCAAACCAGAGGUAGAAUUGCUGCUCUCUGUUGCCCUUGCCCUGGCUGAACACAUUAGUGUGAAGAAUGUAUGGAUCACCACUGAGAUUCCCCAAGAAUUCGAAGUCUAUCUCAUCAUGGGUUGGCCCUUGUGAAGAUAGCUGCAAUUACACAAACCAGAAUGGUGAUUUGUGAGUCAGGAGAAGAUGAAACCAAGAAAGCAUUUGAUGGAAAAGCACUUGGUAAAGAGGAGGCUUACAUAGUAGGCAGUGACAGUGCCAGCUGAGUUACCAGGCACAAGCUUCAGCUGCAUAUCAAUCUUUCCAAACAGAUACUCAUUCUUGGACUGGAAGCCAGAGCCAGAGGUUUUGUCAAGGGAGAGAGUGAGAAGCUCUCCAUUGUUGAGUAUCUUGGCACGGCCAUCACCCCAAGUGAUUUCAAAAUCCUGGUACAAGUUACCAACAGAAGCAACCACAAAGGAACCGAGCAGAAGAGAGACCAAGAACAACUUUGGUGAAAGAUUCCAAGUAGAAGGAGAAGCCAUUGAAUGUGAAUUUAGAGACGAGAAAUGGAAGUAGUUUUGAGCGUGGAAGUGAAGAGAAUGGCGUGGGUAUGUGGGGGUUUUAUAGUAGGUGUCGUGGGGGAAAGUGGAAGGAGAUCGAGAAGAAGGUUCAGUCAGCAGCUGUACACGGUUGAAGAUGUAAAGACAACAGUUGUCAUCAAAUAGCAAAACCCAGUUCAUUUUCACGCGGAUUUUGCAUGGAUUUAAAAGAGAAAAGUGCAGAUCCACUUUCCCAUUUCCCAAGCACCAUUCAUCGCUCAUAACUAAAGCCACCACCGCCACUGAGUAAAAAACAAAAGCGAAUCAAACCCUUGAAACCGUGUCUCUCAUUAUUAUUUUUCAUCUCCAGUUGUAUCCGAAAAAGAAUCACCAAGCCCACAAAUAAAGUCAUAAUAGUAGGAGCCAGUAACAGCCCAAAAGCUCUGUGCUUCGAUGAAACCACCAUCUACUUGGUUUCCUGAAAAGAACUACUCACUGCCCUCUGCUCAACUAAUUUUUAAUUGUGAUGGGUUGGCUUAGAGUUUAAAUUUUAAAACUCAUGGAUCAAGGGGUGGGCCAUGUGCUUGAAGGCUUAAACCAACUGGUUACGAUAUUUCUUUUGGACAAUGUUAGAAUAUCUUAUACUAAUGCGGUGUUUGUUUUUUUACUUAAUUUUAAAUAGAAUCUUAAUACUUAAUAAUGUUAAAUAUUAAAUUAUUUAUUUUUAUAGUAUUUUAUUUUUAUUAAGUAUUAAAAAUUAAAAAAAAAUCAAUAUAUUAUUUUUUUUAUUUAAAAAAAACUACAUAUUUUUUAUUUAGUAAAAUGUUUAUAAUAAGUUAUGAAAAAAUAGAAAAUCAAACAACCUAAAUUUUGAAAACAAAUUACUUUUAGUAAAAAAAAAAAAAAAAAAUACCACCUAAGUAUCUUACUUCUUGAGCCAUUAUUUUGAUGACGUUGACAUUGUUACAAUUGCCAAUAGCUUUUUAUAUGGUUCAAGUCAAACCAACAGGUCACAAAUCAACACAAUUUAAGCAUUAUUCAAAACUGUUUUAAGGAUAGAUUUUCAAAACUCUUCUAUAAAGAAUAAAAAUUUGUUUGAGAAUUUAAAAUAUUUUUUUUAUAACUUUCAAUAUUUUAAAAAUAAUUUAUUUUUAAUCAUUAUUUAUAUUUGUAUAAUUAUUUUUUAAAAUAAUUUUUGAAAAAUAAGCCAAAACAAUUGAAAUAAUUAAAAGAUAUUAUUUGAAACCAAUUUUUAGAAAUAUAAAACUAUCUUUUUUUAAUAUUUGGUUGUUAAACAUGUUUUCCUCUUCUUUUUUUAUUUUUAUUUUUUUUUAUCAUGGAAACAUAAAACCAUUUUAAAAAGUAAUUUCCAAAUAAUACCUAAAUCUUGGGUGACAACAUUAUGUUUACUAAUUUCGGUAGGGAAAGGAGGGCAGCUGUUGAAAAAGAGGUCAUAUUUUUUAUUUUCCUUAUUAUUUUUCAAAACCAAAUAUAAUGUAGAAACAAUAGUAUUGUGAUUUCACUCUCUUCGUUACUUUGUGGGGUUCAACAUUGAGGUUGAGAUAAUGAUAUACAUGCCAUUCAUUGAGAAAGUAAUCUUUGUUGUAUUCAUGUAUUACAUUGUCAACAAUGUGGUGUUUCUGAAAUUCUGAUGGCAACAAAAACGAUAAAGAAUGAAAGAAUAUAAUUUUGAAAUUAUAGAGGCAAACAACGAAGUGAAUGGCCUUAGGUUCUGUUCCCUCUAGGACAUGGUGGUGGCAGAGCAUUCAGGAGGAAGGCCCUGUGGGAAUCUCUUUGUGUCUGCGCAGUAAUUGUAGAUCAUGUAAUUCUUCUGCACCCAUUUCAUUCUCUCUUGGCUUGUGGAAUCUAGCUCUUGUGAGUACCAUCCCCCAUUGGUGGAGGUAGAAGAUGGAGAGGUUGAACUGCAAGAAGAUGAUCCAGA